rnacentral:rRNA from 1 species
AUUGAACGCUGGCGGCAUGCCUAACACAUGCAAGUCGAACGGCAGCACGGCAGUAGCAAUACUGUGGGUGGCGAGUGGCGGACGGGUGAGGAAUACGUCGGAAUCUGCCCAGUCGUGGGGGAUAACUAGCCGAAAGGUUAGCUAAUACCGCAUACGACCGAGAGGUGAAAGCGGGGGACCGCAAGGCCUCGCGCGAUUGGAUGAGCCGACGUCGGAUUAGCUAGUUGGUGGGGUAAAGGCCCACCAAGGCGACGAUCCGUAGCUGGUCUGAGAGGAUGAUCAGCCACACUGGAACUGAGACACGGUCCAGACUCCUACGGGAGGCAGCAGUGGGGAAUAUUGGACAAUGGGCGCAAGCCUGAUCCAGCAAUGCCGCGUGUGUGAAGAAGGCCUUCGG